GAGAUACGCUAGUUUUAAGGACUAAGCCAUGCAAGCGCGUUCAGGAUAACGAAACGGCGGACGGCUCAGUAGGACGACCUUGAUACAACCGUUGUUGAGAAUAACUGUGGGAAUCCCAGGGCUAAUCACAAGAGUCUUUGGCAGUCAGCGACGAGUCUCUGGUCAUCCGAUGACCGGUGGGGACGGGGCAGGCGUCCAUAUCCACGGGAGACCAGGUUCAGGUUUGUUUUAAGCCGAGGCAGGUAGUGUCCGUGGGGAGCGUGAGGCGGAACAGUUAGACGGAGUGGGGGUUGGGCCAUCAGCUUUAUCCAAGGGUCAGUUCCUUGGAUGGCGACCACGGCCACGGGGGAUGAACGUUUAAUUCCGGAGAGGGAGCCUGAGAGACGGCUACCAGGUCCAUGGACAGCAGCAGGCGCGCAACUUGCCCACUUGGAGAAGAGGCAGCGACGAAGGGUUCCAUUUUGGAGAGAAAGCAGGAUUUUUAUCUGCUUGAGAGCAACACGAGGGCAAGUCUGGUGCCAGCCGCCGCGGUAAUUCCAGCUCGGGGAAAGUAUGUCAAGGAUGUUGCGGUUAAGANGCCCGCGGUUUUGAGUGGACAGGGAAAAAGGGCGACUAACAAGGCGCGCAGACAGUUCCGAGCCUGGGGCACCUUGAGUGAGUUAUGGUAUGUAGUUAUGGUAUGUACUAUGUAGUUAUGGUAUGUAGCAUGGCAGCACGUUGUGUAUUGGGCUAGCUGGUGGGAGUGUGUUGCACUACAGUGUAGAGUAUGAGCAUCGGCAUUUUGAGAUGAUAGGAAGCAGUUGGGUGUGUGGCAACGCAGCGGGAGGGGUGAAAACCGGAGAUCGCAGUGGGGCAUGGCGAGGCGAAGGCGACACACUGGCAGCAGUCUGGUGACCAUGGGGGAAGGCCGGGGGAGCGAAGAUGAUCAGAUACCGUUGUAGUCCCGGCGGCAAACAGCCAUUGAUUUGUGGGUUGAGGGUUUUCGAGCAGCGGAGGGAGACCUCGCAGUUCCGAGUUCUGGUUCACAGGUCAGUUUAAAGAGAAUGGUUCUGGGGGGAGUACUGUCGCAAGGCUGGAACUUGAAGGAAUUGACGGAUGGGCACACCAGGGGUGGAGCCUGCGGCUUAAUUUGACUCAACACGGGGAAGCUUACCGGGCGUGAGCUCAGGGAGGAUCUUUCGGAGAUUCUGAGCGUGGAGGUGCAUGGCCGUCCUUGCGUGUGAAGUGAUUUGCGCGGUUUAUUCCGUAAACAUGCGAGGCCCUUUGCAGAGUUUCAGUGUAUUUUGAUAGUUGUGGUAUGCGCAACUGAUUAUGCAGGGAAGCAGUUAGUUUGUAUUGACUGACAAGAUUGUGACGCUCUGUGAGAACGGGGGGAAGAGAGGGCAACAACAGGUCCGUGAUGCCCCUAGAUGGCGCGGGCCGCACGCGGGCUACAGUGGUGGUUUUAGAAGGAGAAGAUAUUUUGAGAGUAUGAUAUACUGUUACAGAUAUGAGAAAGAGGAGCCAUUUUGCGGGAUUGUUAAUUUUGAUAUUGACAUGAACAUGGAAUCCCUAGUAGGCGCGUCUGAGCAUGUCGCGCCGACUUCGUCCCUGCCCGUUGUACACACCGCCCGUCGAUACUACCGGUUUGUUUUAGCGCGAGCUUUUGCGAGUGUUCAGAUGACGAGGAAGUAAAAGUCGUAACAAGGUUUCC
rnacentral:rRNA from 1 species